GCAUGAAGACCCAUGGAGGUUUAGUCUUUUGGGACAAGGCUAUAUAGGCAGCGACUUGACAAAGUAAAGAUUCAAACCCAGGACUGUCAGGCUCAAGCCAUCACAUUGCCUCAUGGAGUCUGAGAAGUGGUCAUAGUGAAGGUCACAUACUGAAAAUGGGAGCAUCACCCGCUGAAAGGAGAUGAGAUCAUGGUAUCAUUUUUUAGACAAGAACAACCCAGGAGAGCCACAGAUCUUCACAGAAUCAUGUGAUGAAAAAACAGAGUAAUUUAAAAACAGAAGGCUAAUAUGUGAU
rnacentral:lncRNA from 1 species